rnacentral:rRNA from 1 species
UAGUAACUGCGAGUGAAGCGGGAAAAGCUCAAAUUUUGAAUCUGGCGGUCUUUGUGGCCGUCCGAGUUGUAAUCUAGAGAAGCGUGUUCCGCGCUGGACCGUGUACAAGUCUCCUGGAAGGGAGCGUCAUAGAGGGUGAGAAUCCCGUCUUUGACACGGACUGCCAGUGCUAUGUGAUGCGCUCUCGACGAGUCGAGUUGUUUGUGAAUGCAGCUCAAAAUGGGUGGUAAAUUCCAUCUAAAGCUAAAUACUGGCGAGAGACCGAUAGCGAACAAGUACCGUGAGGGAAAGAUGAAAAGAACUUUGGAAAGAGAGUUAAACAGUACGUGAAAUUGCUGAAAGGGAAACGCUUGAUGUCAGUCGCGUUCGCCAGGGAUCAACCUUGCGUUUAUUGCUCGGUGCAUUUCUUGGUUGGACGGGUCAGCAUCAGUUUCGAUCGAGGUAUAAUGGCGGAGGGAACGUGGCACCUCUAGGGGUGUGUUAUAGACUUUCGUCGUAUGCUUGGGU